CCAACUCAGCACUUGGUUCCACAUUUGAACAUUAUAAAAACUCUACUAAAAUAGAACAUAAAAGAAGACAUUGUAAGUUAUCUCAACCACUCUCUCUAUCUCUAAGGGUUUUCAUUCUUUCUAGCGUUUGACUUAACCUUCGGAGAGUGUGUUCGGACAACCCGUUCGGGCAUUUUUGUGUAGGAAGCAGAAAAUUCAGAUUCCGACACCAGAACGAGAGCUUCCACUGUCACGUCUAAGAGAGGAAUUCAUCCUCAGUUGACCAGGACCAUUAAUUGUCGUUGAAGUGAGAACAAAUCAUCGACAUUUACUGCGAUCUGGCCCUCCGCGAUAUGCUUGAUAAUAAUAUGUCCAACGUAUCAACCGUUAGGGUCGAGCUUUCUUUGUGUUCUUCCCGGCCAUCUUCACAAGGCUUUGAUUGACGACCCUCGGCAACCGUUCUUCUAGUAGUUCGCAGAAACGAUGCCUGCACCAUUGGUCUUGCUUAUUCUCAAUCUGCUUCUAUCUUCCCCAAUUUCGUCAGCUACUGUUUCCACUUGGAGUGCUUAGGAGCCAAAAUCUGACCCGCGGUUGAAAGGAAAAUGCACAAUUAUUGAAGUGGACAAAGACUUUUGACCUCAUUUGUGGAAGCUAGUCGUUUUUUCAAAGAUGAGGCCGGAGCUUGGAACCUGGGGCAUUCAUGUUCCAUCAUCAUCAUUAAUAUUAUUGCAAGUAGCUUUCCUCUUUCCAUGGGAAUUUCUACACUCCAUACAAGUCAAGAGCGACUUUGUCUUUCUAGAAUCAUUAAUAUUAUUCCAAGUGGCCCAUUCAAAGGGAAAAGAGCACAUAGAGAAAAAAUUGAAUCCAAACUUAAUACAUUGAAUUUAAAAUAAUAAAUAUGUUAUGUGGUUUUACAUUAAAUAUAUAAGUUUUAUUUUUUUAAAUGAUAUGGACACUAUGUUUAAUGUAAGACUAUAUAAAAUUUAAAUAUUAUUUUU